rnacentral:lncRNA from 1 species
UAUAUAUAAACUCACAUAUGUAUGAUUUGAAUAAUACAAUUUUUUUAAUGGCACCUUAAACUUUCAUAUAUAUAUAUAUAUAUAUAUAUAUGUACUCAUAUAAAUAAUUCAGGUGCUCCACAUUAGUCAACAUUUCAAUUGUACCAAAUAUCACAACUAAACACUUUUAAUCACUAAUAUUUUAAAUAUUUCCCCACAGAGUAGUUUUCUUGUUUAAUACUACUACACACAUGCCCUCACGAUUGUCUUACUCACUCAAUCCGACCAUUUCCAAAGAGGAAUGAUCCAUCUGCACAAAUCAACCCGUCCGGAAUUUUACCGCAGAAGUGGCCGCGGUCGACGAUUCUGCCUAUCAUUCUGGAGCAGAAUGUACUGCGGUGUUGUGGAAUCUUCCUGGCUUCGCAAGAGACGUCGCCCCCCAAUGGACGGGGGACAAGUCAUUGAGAGUAGCAGCCACAAGAGUCCCACAGAGAUCGGGGGAGGCGGACAGAAGAAGAGAAUGGAGGCUACUAACUAUCCCACCAGACCUGGGGCUCAAUUCUUCUGCAUAUCGCAGUCCCCCAAAAUCUUCAGAUCUGGAAGGCGGAAUCGAAGAUGGCAGGCAGGAGAGGGUUGUUGAUGAUCUUUCAUCCUGAUGGGCUGAGCUUUGAUUGAAUGGUCACCACUGCGCCUACUUUUCUCCCGUCGUAGCUUCUCGCCACCCUCUGCGUCACCCCUCAUGGUUAGUUCUGCAAGCACUGGCACUGCCCUCGUUCUAUCAAUCUCGUGGCUUUCUACUGUAUCCCUCGCCCGGGGCUGUGUCCUGCGCUCUCGCUCUGGCUCUGAGCGUCAAUUAGGCGAAGAAGAUUCGAAUGCUGAGGUGCAGGAUUGCGGUCGGUGACGCGAGGGAUGGCAGGCGAGCUCGUCUAAUUUGAGGGAUUGUGAAGAAGCGCGUGACAUAGUGGAGAAUUGGAGAGCUAGUUGUGUAGGCGUUGGUGGUGGGGGGUUGGGUUGGGCUGGGUAGUUAGGGUUGCGGGGUGCGCGAAAUGGCGAUGGCGGUGCAAGGUGCAGUGGUGGGGGUGGAGAAGGGGUUCGGUGGGAUGGAGUUCAUGGGUUGCGGGAUAGAGAAGAGGGCGGGGGUGGCAUUGCCGGUGGUGCUGCCGAGAAAGGAUGGCGUGGGGUACAAUUCAGUGGUGCGAGGCAGCUUGGUGGCGACGGAGUGGAGGGGAUUCAUCGCCGGGGCGCCUCGCGUGCGGGAGAGGGCGGCGACGCUGCGAGUGCGGGCGGGCAACGCCGACAGCGACGGGGUGAAGUGGUGGGAGAAGGACGGUGGCCCCAACUUUCGGGAUGUGCACUCGACGCAGGAGUUCGUGGAUGCGCUGGCGAAUGCCGGGGAGAAGCUGGUGGUGGUGGAGUUUUACGCGUCGUGGUGCGGGUCGUGUCGCGCGCUGUACCCGAAGCUGUGCAAGCUGGCAGCGGAGCACCUGGACGUGGAAUUCAUGAAGGUGAAUUUCGAGGAGAACAAGCCGAUGUGCAAGAGCCUGAACAUCAAGGUGCUGCCGUAUUUCCAUUUCUACCGCGGUGCGGAGGGUCGGUUGGACGCGUUCUCGUGCUCGCUGGCGAAGCUGCAGAAGCUGAGGGACGCGAUUGCACUGCACAACACUGAUAGGUGUAGCAUUGGCCCGCCAAUUGGGGUGGGCAACAUUUUUUCGAGCGGCAACAAGGAUCAAGCCGCCGCGGCGUCGACAUCGUCGUCAUAGUACAGUGGGCAUGAAUGGUAGAUAGAGUAGGUGUGGUAGUCUGCGAGGGGAUUUUACAGGCAUUCAAAAUUUUCCAGAGGUCCCCGAGGAUGCGGGAUGCUUUGAUUAGGGCUUGUAGGUUGUAAUCUACGUGUACGCAUAAGAGUGACUUAAUGUAAACAUAGUAACAGAUUCAGUGGGCGACUGUUGUUAUAAGUUCUCUUCGGUUUUUUUUUCUUGGUAUCUGCAUCUGGAUUCGGGAUUGCAAGGUGUGAGUGGGGCAGGACAACGGCAGCUUGGAUUGCCAAUUGCACGAUUGUGAAUUGAAGGUCGUCAUGUGUGAGGUGAUCAGUUGGGCAGGUGAAAAGGUGACGAGGCGGGCUUGGAUGGUGAAGCCAUGACGAAGACGUUGGGUGGGAUGAGGCGAUUUGAGUGGAAUGAGGUGUAGGUUAGUAAUGUGGCUGUCUUCGUGGUGUGCUUUUUUUGUGCUGUAUUUGGCACCGAGAGGGAGGAGAAGUUGUGUGUGGCCAUGUUCAUGCCCGUCAGUCCGUGCAUCCUUGAGCGCUCAGAGAAAGACGUAGCAUUACGAGUUGUGAAGUUUGGGUUGCGGAUGUCUUUGUUACUGGUUCGAAAUAAAGAUCUUGUCCAGUUUGCCGUGCAUUGGACACGGUGGCGAGAUUCACGGCUUGCACAGAUUCAAUUGGCCGUAGGCAUCUAUGAGGUUACGGCAACACGUUCAUCUUCGAACGACAUUAUAGGGUUUAGUUGGUCUUUCUGCGAACCUCCUUUUUCCAUAGAAGAACACAUGAAUCCCAGCAUUUCAGUAUGUAGGUCGUGUAUUUUAUGGUAUAUUGUUGAUAAUCUCUUGUUGCUCAAACCGUUUUGUAUUUUAUUGACUCUGUUGUAAGUCUUAAAAGAUUGCAAGAACUGUAUAUAGAUUAAACACUCUUAUAUAGGUUGAAGUAGAUUUUGCUUUUAUUAACUAUAACAUGAUAAGGAAGAGGGUUUGUUUAUUUUAUCUUAAAAUGAAAGAAUGUUGUGCAAGAAAUGUUAGAAAUUUCAACCUGAAUACCACAAAAAUAGACUAUAUUGAAGUUCUUUAUGCACUUCUAUGUUGAAGCUUAUUUAUUAUGUUAGUUUAGAGAAAUCUUGAUGACCACUAAUGUCUUAAGAAUAUUUAAAAUUUUAAAAAUAAGAAAGUUUUUAAAAUACCAUUCCAAAAGGAAGAAAGAGGAUUAUUUUGUAAAAAAAGCUAUAUUAUAUUUUAUCUUAUAAAUUUGAUUUUUUUUAGUUUAUAUAAUACAUUAUUUUUGGUGUGCCUAUCUAUACCAAAUCAUAAUAUUUUAAAUUGAUAAUAAUAUAAAAUAUAUUAGAUAUAUAAAUAUGAAAGAUAUAAAAAAUAAUAUAUUAUCAUUUGAAAUAGAUAAUUUUAUCUAAAAGAAAAUUUUAAAGUUGUGUUAAAAUAAGUUAUGGUUGAAAAAGUGUAUAUAAUAGAUGUCAUGGAGGUUUUAUCUAAGAAAAAAAUAUUAUAAAUAUUAUCUACAAAUUUUUCAACAAAAAUUAUUAAAUUUAUAAUUAAUUAAUCAAUUAAUUCUUAUUUGUAUAUAUUUAAAGAUGUUUAUUUGUUAAAUAUAAGUUUGUUUGUUUGUUUUGUUUUGUUUUGUUUUUUUUUUUUCAUCUUUAGACAAAAAAUAAUUUUUUUUAUUAAGAUAUUCCACAAGCUUUGUUGUUUUUUUAGAAAAAUACAUAAUAAGAAAGAUAAAUUAUAUCAAAGAUAUAUUUUUAGAUUUUUAUUAAUAAUUGGAAUAAAAAAACAUAUUUACUCUAAUAAUUAUCUAGUUAAUAUGAUUAAGUAGAAGUAAAUAAAAAUAAAUAAUAUUAACAAUGUCUUUUGAUAAAGUUUCUUAAAAACUUCAUAGAUGUGACUUUGGUUUUUUACAUGUUUGUAGGUAAUUGGUAGAUUGAAAUCUUGACCAACAAGUUGGCUAAGUAUUGCAUACAUGUUAGUAACUUAUAAAAAAAAUUGAGCAUGUGGCGCACAUAUAAAAAACUUGGCUUCUAAGUUAGACACAUGUCUUAUAAGUUAAACAUCUGUUGAAGGUCCUAUAAAAUGUUGUUAUAUAGCUCCUAGUUAGAUGAUAUAUAUAAAGAUAAGAGUGAAACCUUCUUCACUCUUAUCAAUCCCUUUCUUGCUUCUAAUCAAGUUUCAUGAGUUUCUAAUUUCCUAAUCUUUAGCAUUAGCCAUUAUAAUUUCUUUUUGAAUAUAUAUAUAUAUAUAUAUAUAUAUGAGAAAUAUCUCACUUGGUUAUUUAUAUUCUUAAAGUUCUUAUCCUUGACAAAUUGACAAGAAUAUAUGUCAUGAAUAUACAUAUUUACUAUGAUAUUUACCUAUUUGAUUAAGUAUAUAAAAAUAGAUUUAUUGCAUAAUAUUUUUUAGAAAAGCUUCUUAGAAGGUUUAUAGAUAAUGCUUUGACUUUAUAUGUGUUUAUAAUUGAUUAGUAGGUUAAAUACUUGGUCAACAAGUUAACUAUGUGUUGGCAGCUUGUGGGAGAAGCUAACUAUGUGACAUACAUAUAAAAAACUUGCCUUGCAAGUUAAGAUAUGUGUCUUACAAAGUUAACACAUUUUGGAGGUCAUAUAAGACAUUGCCAUAUAAUUCUUAUUUAAGAGUAUAUGUAGAGACAAGAGUGAAGCCUUUUUCAUUCUUGUCAACGACUUUCUAAUCUUUAGUCUUAUUUCAAGCUUUUCUAGUCCUCUUGUCUUUGGCAAUAAUCAUUCUAAUUUAAUACCAUAUUAUUUUUGAAUGACUUUCUAGUUCUUUUGAGUGAUACAAGAGUGUAUUAAGGAUUUCUUUCUUUGAGAUUCAUAUCUUUAAUAGUUUGUAAGAAUGUUAACUUAUUGUUUAUAUCUUUUUUUAAAAAUGAGUGGAUUAUUUUACUUCUAUUAUUGUAUUUUGAAGAUUGUAGACUAUCUAUCUUUAAACAAAUGCUAUUAUUUUUAAACACCAAUUAUUUCUUUAAAAAAAGUGGAUUAUCAUUCUUUGUGGAAAUUUUCAUUUGAUAUUAGAGGUUGUAGAUUAUCCUCGUCUAAUUUAACUUGUGAAUUUGUUUGAAUUGUUUAUGGAAGAAAAGAUUAUGGAUCCUAGUCUAAGCGAAAGUGAGAAUAGAUUUGGAACUAUUGCAAAUCUUCAUGAACUUGUCAAUACUUUAAGAAUAGAAAUAACACAUAUUUCCAUUGUGAAUCAUAGAGGUACUAUUCUUAUGCAUAUGGAAGAAGUUCAAAGUCUGUGUCAAGAAGUUGUGCAUUUGAAGGAAGUAAGUCAAUUGAACUUAUAACCAUAUUCAAGAAGUUUUUCUUCUAUAAGUAUGAAGGAGAUAAGAAUUAAUAUGCUUGAGAAGUUUGAUGGAAUAAGAUCAAAAUUUCAAGGAUUUUUGCAAGAAGUCAAGCUCUAUCUAAGGUUACAUCCCUUCCAAUACCUUAAUGGAUUUACUCAAGUUGGAUUCAUAGGCACACUUCUAUUAAGAAGUGCUCUUUUUUGGUUUAUACCUUCAAUAAAAAAGAAUUUAUAACUCUUUUAUAAUUUGAAUUUAUUCUUGAAAGUAUUUAGAGCCACAUUUAUAUAAAGUGAUAAAAAAAAAAAUAGAAGAGACGAAAUAAAGAUCACGAUCAAGGAUUACAAUCAACCACCAUAUAUUCUGUUGAAUUCCAAAACCUUCCUUAUAACAUAGAUUAGAAUGAUAAAGUCUUUAUCAAUCAAUUUUGAUAUGAAUUAAAAGUUAAUUUCAAAGAUUUAUUAUUGAUAAUGUCAAAAGUAAAAUCUUUAAAAUAAUUUAUUGCUAAAGCCAUUACAUGCAAUAAUUAAUUAUUUAAAAGACAUCAAAAAGAAAGACUUGGCUGGAGAGGAAGAAGUCAAAUAAUAUCGACAGCUUCAACAAUUUCAAGAACUUAUUCAUCAAAGCUAAAAUCAAUGCAAAUUGAUAUGGUACAUUUUAAAUUCUUCACAAAACAGGAAAAGAUUUGACAAUGUCAAAAAGGCUUAUACUUAUAUUGUAGAAAAGCUAAAUAUAUUGUUCAACAUUGUCCAAAGAAACAAUACAACCACAAAAUGAGAAGCAUGGUGGCCAAAAAAGAUGAUGUGUCAAAAAACAAGUUUCUCCAACUAUAAUAGGAAUCAUUCGACUAAAAUCUUACAUAAUUCUUAGUAAAGGUUCUAUUCUCUCCUCAAACUUCUUACCUUGUUUUAUACAAAAGUUUAUUUAGGACCAAAAAAUCAUGAAGUCUUAGCUUUGUUAGAUUUAGGAGCUUCAAUUUUUUUUAUAGAAAAAGAUUUUGUCAAAAAAUAAGAGAUAUUGUUAAUUAAGAAAAUUAAAUCCAUACAUGUAAAAGUUAUAGAUGAUCAUUUGCUAUCUUUUGGAAAUAUUAUAUAUGAGACUGUUCUUUUAGAUGUAGCAAUAAAAGAUCAUAAUAACAUAGUAAUAUUUAAUAUAAUAAGUUCUCUGUUAAUUUGAUUAUUUUAAGAUUAUCUUAAUUGAAAAAGUAUAAUCUUCAAAUAGAUUGGAUUUUUUUAUAAUUAUAAUUUUUUUGGUAGUUUAAUCCAAAAUCUUAUUAACUAUAAAAAUAUAUAUAUAUAUAUAUCUAUAUAUAUAUAUAUAAAAGUCUAGUUCAUUCAAAAUCUUAUUAAUAAGUGCAAGAGCUUUCAUGCAUGCUGCAAAAAAAGGGUCAUCUUUUGCUAUAUAUGCCAUAUCCAUUUCUGAUAAUAGAAAGACAUUAAGUAAUAUUCUUAGUUAAUAUCAAGAUUUCCAAGACAUUUUUGAAAAGAAGAAUAUAGAUUUAUGAAGUACUUGAAGUUGAUUGGAUUUAUUAAGUAUGUAUAAUUUUUUUUAUUAAUCUAAGAAUGCAAUUGACAGAUAUCUGGGUUUUGGUGUAAGAGGGUAUUAGAAAUUAGCAGUUUGGAGUUGGAUAGGAUUUCUAUAAUAUCUAAAGAUCUACUAAUCAAAUAAAAGUGAAAUUUGGCAUGGUGUUAGAAGACUAUAAUAUCAAGCUACAUACUAAUUUUGAAUUGAAGUUAAUAAGUAAAAAUGGAGGAAUUUCUACUAGCAUAUUUAUAUCAACUUUCAAGUUGAUGGCUAAGUAACAUCAAUGCAGUAUUUGGAUUUUUUUUUACAAUCUAUAAGUUGGAUUAAAUUAAUUUUUUUUUGAAUAUAUAAAAGACUUAUAGUAGUAUUUGUGUAUAAAAUUUUGUAUCAAGUAGAUAGUCAAAUUAGGAGUUAUAGCUCACCAAAGCUCAUUAACUAAGAUUGGGGCUUGCAAAGAGAAAUCAAAAUUACCUAAUUAUGAAAGUAAUAAGACAAUUGGGAUUUAUAUAUGGUUGAGAUUACUAAAAAGUGUUUUUUUUGAGUACUUUGUAUUAACUUUAAGCACUUUUGAAUUAAAAUUAAAAUUUUAUUCUUCUCAUAUGCAUGAAACCUAUUAGGAUUUUUUGGAUAUUUGUAAAGCAUAACUUCACCUUCCAGAAUUUGAUGCCCAGUACAUUCUUAAAUAAGCUAAUAUGUAAUACAAUAUAAGUGGUGAAAUCAAUGUAAAAGUUUUAGGUAGAAGAUAUUAGAUUGUAUUUAUAGUUAUUUAAAAUUGAUGACACAAGAAGGCAAGAAAGUUGAAUUUGGAGUUUUUGAUGGAGCUUUGGAUGGAACUUCAUGUAUAUUUUCUACUAAUAAAUAAGGUAUGUAUAUUGAUCUAAAUAUAAUAGAUAUAUUUUAAGUAAUUAUAUUAUUUAUAGAACAAUAAUAUGACAAUGAUCACAAAGAAGCUUGGACAACUAAAGCAUUGCAAGUAGUGAUUAAUAAAAUUGACCAAUUUGAUAGAAGAAAUAUUUUAAAGUAUUUGACAUGUUGUGUAUGAAAAUUAGAAUUGAAUUGGGUUUUUGAAAAGAAGAUGAUUGAGCUAUUUGAACUUGCUAUAAUAUUGGAGAUAAGAAAAUAUAUUAAAUCAAUUAUGGAAUAUUUUGGAGAUUCAUAAGUGACAUUUUUAAAUACAUUAAAAGAUAAAUAUUUUUUAGAGGAUAUUGAUUGUAUUACCAAAAAAUCAUUUUAAAAAUAAUUCAGGUAGCCUAAUAAGAAUUUACAAGCUACAAAGCUUUUCAGUAAGUUUGAGAGGUAAUAUUCUCGAUUAUCAAAGAUGGAAAAAUUAACUAUAAAGCCAAACAAAGUUUAAUUUUUUCUUUAAUUAAUUAAUAGAAAAUUAUAAGAAAAAUUAUAAAUUAUUCUUAAACAUAAAAAAUAGAUUGAUAAUAAAGUAAAAAAAUAUUGAAGAUGUUGUGGAAUUGCUUGCAAAAUAAAAAAGAUAAGAUUAAUAUUCCAAAAAUUAUACAAGCACCUAAAAUUCAAGUAUAUAUAAUAUAAUUGGCAAUGUCUAUUAUUUAACUUUCAAUGACUGCAUCAAAGAAAGAAGAUAUAGGACUUGAAGAGAUUACAUGUGGAAUGCGAGAUCUUAUAAGGCUUGAGGAAAAGACUUCUAUAGAUAAUUCAAGGACUACUUCUAACGAAGGAUAUGUACAAAGAUGUAUUUAUUGUGAUGAUAUUUUUCAUUCUCAAAAAAAUUGUAGUGAAUUCAAUGAAACAUUAUGACAGGGCAUUAUUUUUUGAAAAGUUCAAAAAGUGGUAUUGAAGGAUAUUGGUGAUCUUUUCCAAACCAACUUUGAUGAGGGAAGCAUGAAAGCAUUAGUUAAAGAUUAUUUGGUUGCACAUGGGCUUACGGCAAUGGAAGGUGCAAGUUAUGGUGCUAAGAUAGAUGAUGACUUUGAUAGAAAUAUAAAGACAAGUAGAUUUUUGACUUCUACCAUUUUUAUAAUACAAAAAAAAAAAUGCCUCUAGAGGCAUUAUAAAGAGCUGCAACUAUAAUGUGUAGUAUAAUAUGUUGAAGGAUCUUAUAGAAGCUUUAUCAAUACAUACUUAUAUUGAUAAAAACCAAAAUGAAGCUUUAAUAGAAGAAAAAAAGAAACAAAAUUUGGAGGAUAUAAGAGAAGAAAUUACUUUUAAGAGACAAACUUGAGGAAACAAGGCUUGUAAGAUAGCUUCAUAAGAAUUAUCAAUAGAGGAUGCUUUGAAAGAAAAAAAAAUCAAAAGAUAUAAGAAAUAAAGAUAAGUCAUCAAUAUACAAACUACUCUUUGAUAUUGAGAGAGCAAUAGAUUUAAAUGAGGUUCUUGAAGAACAUAUGUUCAAUGCUAAGGUUGAAUUUGUAUUGAAGCAAAUUUUUGGAAUUACCAAGAAAGAAUUUUAUGAUGUUAUUAUUAAUAAUAUUAAAUAAAAGAAGCAAUAAAUGGAAGAAGCUAAAUUGAAUCAUGCUAUUAAUACAUACUUAUAUAAGAAUAAAGAAGAUAAAUUUGAUAAUUUUUGUAAAUAAUCAACAAGUAAAAAAAGAACUUAUAAUCAAAGAGUAUGUUUUGAUGAUUGAGGUAAUAAGGAUAAAGAGGUUUUAAGUCAUUAUAUUCAAAAGCAUUGGACUAUAGCAACUAUAUAGGUAUUGGUAAAGGUUGGAGAUAUGGAUGAGUCAAUUGUUGCUUUGAUUAGCCAUGGUUUAGAAAUAAAUCUUAUGUCCAACGAUCUUUACAUAAAAUAAAGGUGGUGAAUUGAUAUGGAACAUGGAUGGACAAUAUUGGCAACUAAUAAUACAUGAGGUGAUUUAUAUAGUACUUGCUCAAAUGAAAAAAAUUCAAAUUGGUGAUACUAGAAUCGAACAAAAUUUCUUUCUUUAAGAUGCAACAUCUUAUCUUCUUAUUUUGAGACAACUAUAUGUUAUUGUGACUCAAAUAGAAAAAAAAGGUACUUGAUGAUGGUUUAGCUUAUGUACAAAUUUAUAAUAAAGAUGGAAGAAAGACUGUAUAAUUUUUGACUGUGCCUCAAAAUUAUAAGUAGAAUUGAAACAAAUUAAAAAAAAGUCCAUUGUCAAGAGUUGUUGAAGAAUUCAAGGAUUUUUGAGGAGUACUACUAUAAAAAGAUAUUAUAGAGGUAUAAAAGAAUAAGGACUCUUGCAAAAUAUAGGUGCUUUUUAUACAAGAUUUAUUGACUUUUUUGAAAAUGGAAGUAUUAUAUAUAAGAAGAUUAAAGAUUUAAAAAGAAAAGAAAAGAAAAAAAAAUAAAAGAUUGUGUACUAUUGAAAAAGAGUUAUGUGGAUUAGGAAUAUUAAAAAAUAAUGAAAAUAUUAUAGAUAUUUGUGAAGAAAAUGGAUUUGAAGAUCAUUUGGAAUUGAUUAUAUUUAUUGGAUUAAAUAAUAAUGAUAAAGUUAUGAAAAUUUAUUUGAGAGAAGCUUAUGAUAUGAUUGAAUAUUUUCAAGCACCAAAGGUUAUGGUUGAAACAAAAUAUAAGAUUGUGGAUAAGAAGGUAAAACCUAUUGCUGGAUUCUUACUAAAAGAUUUUAAAGAAUAAAUAAAAAAACAUCAAGAAAAAAAUCUUGAGGGAUCCAAAGAAUAUUAGACACAAGUUUGCCAAAGAAACUUUUGAAGAAUUGAAAAUUGGUUUGAAUGGUUCUUUAUUGCUAGAAAAAAUUGUAUACUUCAAAGAAAUGUUGGCAAAACAAAAUAAACCAUUUGCCUUUAAAUCUUAUAAAAUUAGAUGUGUGGAUCCAAAUAUUGUAAUGUCUAUGAUUAUUUUCAAUGAACCACAUGUAUUUUGGAAUUUGAAGCCAAUUCCAAUGCCAAGGGCAUAUUUAUCAAGAUUAAUAGAAUUAUUGAAAGAAAAGAUGAAGAUGAAGAUUUUAGAGCCUUCUUUUGCACCAUAUUCUACUCAAUGAUUUACAGUACCUAAGAAAAAUGGAUCAUUACGAUUUAUUUAAGAUAUACAGCCAAUAAAUGCAGUGAUUAUUAAAAAUAUAAGAAUUGGAGCAAUAGUGGAUGAAUUUGUUGAAGCAUUUGCAAGAAGGACAAUCUAUUUAAUAGGUGAUUUAUAUUCAAGCUAUGACCAAUUUCAACUUACAAAAGAGAGUAGAGACAUGGCAAGAAUGAAAACGCUACUUGGAUUGGUUAGAAUGUCUAUUCUUCUUCAAGAUGUUACUAACUUAGUUGCAUAUAUGAUGAAGGGAAUGAACAAGGUAUUGAGGAAUUUUAUUCUUGAAAAGACUAUAUUUUUUUUAGAUGAUGUUUCUAUUAGAGGGUACAAAAAAAAAAGAAAAAAAGAUGAGACUUUAGAUAAGAGGAGGUGGUACAAGUAUGCUGUUGUUCAUAUACAAGAUUAUAGAAAAAUAUUGACUCGGUUUAAGGAAGUUCAUCUUACAUUAUUGAAUAUAAAAUCUAUAUUUGGAAUAUAAGAAAUCAUAAUUAUUAGAUAUUUAUCUAGAUUUUAUGGAAGAAAACUAAAUUCAACUAAAGUUGAUGUAAUUAUAAAGAUAAAAGAGGAUUAUAGUUCUUUAAUAUAGGUAUGUAGGUUUUUGGGUACAUGUGUCUUUUAUCAUAUUUGAAUUUGUCACUAUGUUCAUAUAGCAGAUCUAUUAUAUGAGUUAUUAUAUAAAAUUUAUGAGUUUAAAUAGAAAAAAAAUAUAUUAAAGCAGUGCAAAGAUUGAAGAAAUUAUUGACAUUUCUUCUAGUAUUAAAAAAAUUGAUUAUAAAUGUAAUAGACUAGUGUUUCUUACAAUGGAUACUAGUUUGAUUGGCAUUGGAUGAGCUGUAGGUUAAGAUGAUUCAAAUGGAUAUAGAUUUGUAGUCCAAUUUAGAGCUAAGAUUUUAAGUAUUGACCAAUGUGUAUAUUCACAAGUAAAAAAAGAAUUAUAAGGAAUUAUUUCAACUAUAAAAGCUAAAAAAGAUUAUUUGAUAGGAACAAUGGUGGUAAUUGAAACAAAUUAUUUGCCUUUAUUUGGAAUGAUUACUAAUUAUACAACACUAGAUAUUACAAUGUUAAGAUGGAUUACUUAUAUGAAGUCAUUAAAUCCAAAAUUUAGGCAUGUUGCAAAGAAAGAUAGUUUGAUAGCAGAUAUGUUAUCUUGAAUAAAAUAUAAUAGAAAAGAUGAGAUAAUUGACGAUAUUGAUGAUGUGGGUACAAAAAUUUUAUUUGGUUUUAUAAUUGAAUAAGGAAGAUUAAUCAUUUCAUGAUUUUUUUAAAAAAAAAAGAGUUAUUAGGUAUUCGAUACUAUUUAAGCACAUUAACUAAGAAUACUAAUUGGUUGAUUGAAAAAUUUAAACAGAUAAAAAAAAAGGCAUAAAAGUUUAUAUUAUAAAGAGGAUUUCUUCAAAAGAGGCUAAAAUCAAACAUUGGAAUGCCACAAUAAGUAGUAGGUACCAAGGAAGAUCAACAAAAAUUACUCAAGGAAUUUCAUGAUAGUCUAUGGAUAAGACAUAGAAGAAUUUGGACUACUUUUGCUAAAUUAAAAGAACAAUAUUGGUAGAAGAAUAUAUAUUGAGAUGUAGCUUUGUUUAUAGAAUCUUAUGUAACUUAUCAAAUAUAUUCAAAUAUAUAAUAUUAAGAUGGUCUAUAUCCAAUAUAUCAUUUGGUUAUUCAUUUUAAAUGAGUUGUAGAUUUGGUUAUUAUGGCAAUGAAACUAUAAUAAAUGAGGUAUUAAAUUUUGGCUCGUAAAGAUUUAUCAAAUCAUAUAGAAGUCGAGGUACUAAGAACAAAUUCUAUAGAAGGAAUUUGUAGAUUUUUACUUGAAGAUGUUAUUUGUUGCUAUGAAUGUGUGGAAAAGAUUACUACAAAUCAUAGAAAAUUGGAUGUACAUGAAGCUUAUAAAUUCUUUAAGAGGUGCAUAGUUAAAUUAUUAUUUAUUAUUAUUUAUUAUUAUUUAUAAUCCAAAAAAUAAUGCACAAAGUGAACAUGGACAUCCACCAAUCAUAAAAGCCUUAGUUAAAGCUUGCAAUGGAAGAGUGAAAGAGUGGCCUUGACUUCUAUCUUAUACAUUAUGGGCUAAUCAAACAAUACAUAAUUUGGUAACAAUAUAUAUUAGUGGAACUUUGAACAAGUCAAAAACCUAUUAUUCCAAUUAAAGAACAUAUGCCAACUUGGAGUUUAAUAUCUUAAGAAGAUUGGUUGACAAGAGAAGAAUUGUUGGCUAUUAGAAUUUGAUAAUUUGAGCAAAGAUCAGAUGAUGUAGAGCUAGUAUUGAGAAGAUUACAAAAGGCUAGAUUGAGAAACAAGGCUUGGUUUGAUAAACAACAUCGAUUUAAGCCUAGAACAAUUGAAAAAAAUGAUUGAAUACUUAUUUAUGACAAUAGUUUAAAUAACCAACACAAUACUUCGUGAAAGUUUUCAAAAUAGUGAUUUUGGUCAUAUGUAGUGUUAUCAAUCCAUAAUAAUAUCACAUAUUCAUUAAAGAAGUUAGAUGGUACAAGAUUGAGAAUACCUAUUAUUAAAAAGUGGGUGAAGAUUUUCAAAAGACAAAAUAAAGAAAGCAAUGUGGAGGAUCAUGUUGAAGAUAUCAAUGUUUUUGAAGAAGAUAACUAUAUUGAAAUGAAUGAUGAAUAUAAUAAUGACAAAAUUGAUGUAAAAAUUAAAAAGAUGGUAUGAUGCCAAUUAUGACAUAUGAUUCAUUUGGCGCAUAUUAGAGAAUGUAUAGAUUCAAAGAAAGUGGAUGUUGUAUUGUAGCAUGACUAUAUAAUAAAAAUAUAAUCAAUUUUUUUUCUAAAUAUAUCUAAUUAUCUUAAUUCAAUAAUAAUUUAAGAUAUUUAAAUAUGACUUUUAUAAAUAAUUUUUAAUUUAUUUUCUUAUCUUAAUAGCUACAAGAUUAAAAGUUGGUUAAUAAUUUUAUCUUUUAGGUUGUAGAAAUUCUUUUAAUACUUUAGAAAGACCAUAAAUUAAUAUAACUAAAUUAGAAGAGAUAAAUAAUUAAUAGGAUUGAUAGUAGAAUUAAGUUGAAAGUAAGAUUGGGCAGAAAAAAUCCCUAGGAUAGGUUAGAUUGAUACUUGGAGGUUGAUCAUUUAUAGGAUAUGAUCAAAGUCAAAUCUAUAGCUAUUAAAAUAACCUCAUGAGCUAAAGUAAGGAGAUAUUUAAAGAUUGGCAACUCUAAUUUGUGAACUAACUUUAAGCUGAUUUUGAAGGUAUAAGGCUUGUUUUCAAAAGAUUUGAAAUGACUUUGCAAUUGUUGCUCAAAGUUAGGAUUAGUAUCAUUGAUUUGGAAUUUAUGCAAUAAAAUUAGGACUAAUACUCUUGACUAGUUUGUAUAAUUGGCGUCACAUGUAUAGUUCAAAAUUUGAAAUUAUUUGGUUGAUUGGAUGUAUUAAGUAUGUAUAAUUUUUUUAUUAAUCUAACAAUACAAUUGAGAGAUAUCUGGGUUUUGGUAUGAGAGGGUAUUAAAAAUUAGCAGUUUAGAAUUGGAUAGGAUUUCUAUGAUAUUUAAAGUUCUACUAGUUAGAUCAAGGUGAAAUUUGGCAUGGUGUUAGAAGACUUCAAUAACAAGCUACACAAUAAUUUUAAAUUGAAGUUAAUAAGUAAAAAAGAGAAAUUACUACUAGCACAUUUGUGUUAACUUUCAAGUUGGUGGGUAAAUGACAUCAAUGCGGUAUUUGGACUUUUUUUCAUAAUCUAUAAGAUAGAUUGGAUUGAACUUUUUUUGAAUAUAUAGAAGAUUUAUAGUGGCAUUUGUGUGUAAAAUUUUGUACUAAGUGGAUUAUCAAAUUAGGAGUUAUAGCUUGCCAAAGCUCAUUAAAUAGGAUUUGAGCUUACAAGGAAAAAUCAAAAUUGCCUAAUUAUGAAAGUAAUAAGACAAUUGGAGUUUAUGUAUGGUUGAAGUUACUAAAAAGAGUAUUUUUGAGUGCUUUGUAUUAGAUUUAAGCAUCUUUUAAUUAAAAUUCGAAUUACAUUCUUCUUAUAUGGAUGAAAUUUAUUAGUUUUUUUUGGAUAUUUGUAAAAUACAACUUUACCUUUUACAACCUAUUGCUUAGUGCAUUCUCAAAAAAGAAAAUAUUUAUUAGAACAAUAUAUCUUACAAAAUCAAUAUAUUUUAGAGGUUGUAUAGGACAUUGCCAUGUACCUCGUAUUUAAAAGUAUAUAUGGAGGCAAGAGUAAAGCCUCUUUUAUUCUUAUCGAUGCCUUUUUAGUCUUUAGUCUUAUUUUAAGAUUUUCAAGUUUUCUUGCCUUUGGCAAUAACCAUUCUAGUUUAAUACUAUAACAUUUUUGAGUGACUUUCUAGUUCUUUUGAGUGACACAAGGGUAUAUUAAGGAUUUCUUUCUUUGAAAUUCAUCUCAUUGUGAAUAUACUUAUAAUAUCAUAGCUUUAUAUUUUCUUAAUUAAAAGUGGAUUUUUUUCUUAAUAAAUCAUAAGCAUAUUAAUUAUAUAUUAUCAAAUUUUAAAUUAAUAUUAAUUUUAGAUUUUUUUUUUCAAAUCUACUUUUCUAUUUAUCUUAAGUAAUAUUGAAUACCUUCUUUUUUAUUGAAUUAUUAUGACAAAAUUUAUUGAAAUAAAAAGUAUAAUAGUAAAAAUAUAAGAAAAAAUAAAAUAAUAAAUGCUUUUGAUGCAUCAAUUCAAUUUACUACCAUAAAGAAUAUCAAGGUUGAUUAAAAAUAAAAAUAUAGAAAUUAUUAGAGCUGUUUUAAUCAUAUAACUUCUUCUCUAGAAAAAUACCAUUUAAUUGUUAAAAAAUCAAAAGUUAUCUUAAGAAAUUUGAUAUUAUAAAAUUAAAUUUUUAAAGAUUCAUCAACCAAGUAAAAUUUAUAAUUAAACUUUAAGUACAAAGCUAUCCAAUUCCAAAAUUAUAAGUCAUGUUUAUUAGGACAUUACUUUUAGAUUCUACUUUAUUUUAAUUUUAAUUAUUUUUUGAAUUAUAUGAUAUAAUAUUAGAUAAUUUAAAGACUUUUUUGGAAAAUUUUUGAUCCAUGUAUAAAGAACAUAAUGUAGUUUAUUUUAUAAGUAACAAAAUUUAUAUUUUAUAAUAAAGUUUUUUUAUUAAUAAUGUUAUAUGCUUCAUUAUUUCAACAACUUAUAAUUAUUUAUUAAGUGGGAUGAUGUUAUACUUAUAAACUAAUGUUUUUAUAAAUUAUAAUGUAAAAAAGAAAUUGAUGCUAAACUUACUUGAUUCUCAAAUAUUGAGUCAAGCAAUUGACUUUGUUGUGAAGUGUGACAAUUGGCUUUUUGAAUUUUAAUAUAAAAGUCAUACAAAUAGGCCUCAAUAUUUUUAUAAUUCAAUGGAAACAUUAAUGUCUUCACAAUAUAUAUAUCUAAAAGUAGAAGACAUGCAAAUUGAUAUAGUACAUUUUAAACUUCUUACUGAGCAAACAAAAACUUAUCAUCAUUAAGAAAGACAAUGCUUAUAUUAUAAAGAAUCUAAAUACACUACUCCAUAUUAUCAAAAGAAUUAACACAAUCACAAAAUAAGAAGUAUGGCUAUCAAAGAAGAAUAUAUAUUUAAAAAUAAGUUUAUUCAAUUAUAAUAAAGAUGGUGUGAUUGAAAUCUUAUUCAAUAUAUUAUAAUUUAUAGUUGAUUAAUAAGUUAGAAACUUGAUCAAGAAGCUAACCAUAUACUUCAUGUAUUGAUAGCUUGUAGAAUAAGUUAAUUAUGUGGCAUCCAUAUAAAAACUUGCCUUGCAAGUUAAGAUAUAUGUCAUACAAAGUCAACACGUUUUUGGAGGUCCUAUAGAAUGUCAUUAUAUAGAUUCUAAAUAGAUAAUAUAUAUAGAGGCAAGAUUGAAGCUUUCUUCACUCUUGUCAUUUAUUUUCUUGCUUCUAGUCUAAUUUCAAGAGUCUCUAAUUUCUUUGUCUUUUGAAAAUAGUCAUUUCAUUUUUUUUUUAAAUAUACAUAUUUUUCUAUUUCUAUUUUAUUAUAUAUUUUUUAAAAAAUCUCACUUAUUUAUUUGCUUUUAUUGAAUUCUUGUCCUUGACAAUUAGAUGUCUUUUGUAGAUGUUCUUAUCUUGCAUCAAAAGAAAAAAAUUUAGCUUUUGAUUAACAACUGAUUUUUUUUUUUGAAGCUAAAUAUAUAAAACUUAUCUUACAAGUUAAGAUACAUGUCAUGCAAAGUCAACAUGAUUUUGAAGGUCCUAUAGAACAUCACUAUAUAGAUUCUAGAUAGAUAGUAUAUAAAGAAGUAAGAUUAAAGCCUUUUUUACUCUUAUCAAUUCCUUUCUUGCUUCUAGUCUAUUUUCAAGAGUCUUUAGUUUCUUUGUCUUUUGGCAAUAGCCAUUCUAGUUUCAUUUUUAAUAUGCAUACUUUACUAUUUCUAUUUUGUCAUAUUUCUUAGAGAGAGCAUCAUUUGAUUAUUUUCUUUCAUCAAGUUUUUAUCCUUGAUACGUUAAGAAGAGUACUCUUAUAAUAUCAAAAUUUUACCUUUUCAUGAUUAAAAGUGGAUUACAUCUUUUUCUUGAUAAGAAUUAAGCAUAGUAGGAGUUGCAAAUUAUCCUCUUCUAAACUCAUAUUGUCCUUAGCAUUUUUUUUUCUUUUUUUUCAAAUCUUUUCUUUUAUUUAUCUUGAGCAAUAUCAAACAUCUUUUUUUCUUUAAGUAGUAUCAUAGUAGAGCUUCUCAAAAUGAAGAGUGUAAUAAUUCAAAUGCAAGAGCAAUUCAUGGAGUUAAUGCUUGUAUUGCAUCAACUCAAUUUAUCACAAUAAAGAGCAACAAGAAUAAUAGGGUACAAAGAUAUAGAGAUAAUUAGAGCUGCUUCAAUAUCUAUACCAAAUCAUGGUUUUUUUUAAAUUUUUUAAAUUUUUUAUAUUAAAAUAUCUUUUUAUUAUUAGAAAAAAAGAGAAUGCAUUGUCCAAGAAGUUUGAUGAUACAAGAUCUAAGUUUCAAGGAUUUAUCAAUGAAGUAUAAUUUAUGAUUGAAAUUCAACUCCAAAGCUAUCCAAUUCUUUGAUCAUAAAUUAGAUUCAUUGGUACAGUACUUUUAGAUUCAACAUUAUCAUAGUUUUUAUCUUUUUUUGAAUUAUGAGAUUAAAUAUUAGAUAAUCUUAAGGCUUUUUUGGCAAAGUUUUGAUCCAUGUAAGAAAAACAUAAUGCAAUUUGUGUUGCAAUCUAUAAGAUCUAUAUUUUAUAAAAAAAUGAUUAUUUGAUAAGGUUAUAUGCUUCACACUUUUGACAACUUAUAACUUAUAUUAAGUAAGAUGAUGUUGCAUUUGUUAGCCAUUUUUCUACAAAUUAUAAUAUGAGGUCAAAAAAUUGAUGCUCAACUUAUCUAUUCUUCAAACGUUAAGUCAAGUAAUUAAUUUUGCUACAAGGUGUGAUAAUCGAUUUUUUAAAUUUUAAUUUGAGAGUCACAUAAGUGAAAUUCAAUGCUACUAUAAUUUAAUGAUAAUGCCAAUGACUUCUCAACAAAUAUAUUUGAAAAUAGAAGAUAUGCAAAUUGAUGUAGUAUAUUUCAAACCUCUUAUUGAGCAAGAAAAGACUUGUCGUCAUUGAUAAGGAUUAUGCUUGUAUUGUAGAAAAUUUAAGCACACUACUUAAUAUUAUUUAAAGAAACAACAUAACUAUAAAAUAAGGAUUAUGGCUAUGAAAGAAUAUAGUAUAUCAAAAAUCAAGUUUUUUCAUUGAUAAUAUGAAUCGUGCUGCUAAAACCUUAUACAUUACUUAAUGAAGGUCCUAUUUUUUCUUCAAAAUUUUCUCUUUGUUUUAUGAUAAAUGUUAUUUUAGAACCUAAAUAUUAUAAAGUCUUUGCUUUGUUAGAUUGAGGAGCUUCAACAUGUUUUUUAGAUGAAGAAUUUACUAAAAGAUAUAGUAUACCUUUAAUGAAGAAAACUAAAUCUAUUCACGUAGAAAUCAUAGAUGGUUGUCUAUUGUCUUCAAAAAAUAUUACUUAUGAAAUCUUUCCUAUAGAAGUAGCAAUUAAUAGUUAUAGUAGUUUUAUAAUAUUUAAUAUCAUUAGAUCUCCUUCUAAUCCAAUCAAUUUAGAUUUAUUAUGGAUAAAAAAAUAUAAUUCAAAAAUAGUUUAGAUUUCUUUUAGUCUUAAUUCUUUUAAAAGUAUAAUUAAGAGUAUAGUUGAUCAAGUAGAAAGUCAUAAGUAUAAUGAAAUUAAAUUUAUAUUUGUAGGUGCAAGAGCUUUCUUGUAUAUUAUAAAAAAAGAAUUACCUUGUGUCAUUCAAAGUUUCAAAUGCUUUUAUUGCAAAAGAAGACAUUUGAAACUUUGAAGACAAUCUUUAUUUUUGUACCAAUUUUAUAUUGUGUUGACUUUUUUAAGCUUUUUUUUUUAUGAAAAUAGAUGCAUCAAACUUUACUUUAGAUGUUGUAUUAUUACAAAUAGAAAUAGAUGAUAAACUUCACCUAAUAACUUUUUAUUUAAGAAAAGUUUUAGUAGUUGAAAUCAAUUAUAAGAUUCACAAUAAAGAACUUCUUAUAAUUGUAGAUUUGUUUCAAGAAUGACACCAUUAUCUAGAAGAAUCUUUUAAUCCUAUCAUUGUUUAUACCAACCAAAAGAAUCUUGAAUAUUUUAUGUUAGCACCUGUUUUGAAUCGUCACCAAGCCUAUUGCAGCAUGUCUUUGAAAGAUUUGAUUUUAAGAUCACUUAUCAAGCUAGAAUACAACAAAAUUUUUUAGAUGCUCUUUUUAGACGUUCUUAUCUUGCACUAAAAGAAGGUAAUGUAUCUUUUAAUGAAAAAAGAAUAUUUUUUUUUGAAGUCGAAGUACUUUUAUCUUUAAGUAAUAAAAUCAAUAUUGUUCAUUGAUUCAAUCCUUUUUAAGCAAAUUCAAUCAAGUAUGUCCUUUGAUCCUCUUGUUCAUGAUAUUAAGAGUCCUUCUUCUAUUUUUUAUGAUGCUUUUAGGUUUAAGUUCAAAAACAACCUACUUUAUUUCAAAGGAUGCCAAUACAUUUCCACAAGAGAAGUAUAUUUAUGUAUUCUUUAAGCACAUGAUGACUUUCCAACGGCCAAAUUUUUUGGAUAUAACAAGACUUUAGAAUUUAUAUUUAGAAAUUUUUGGUGGCCAAAAAUGUGGAAGGCAAUAAAAGACUUUGUCCAGUCAUGUAACAUUAUCAUGAUAUAACAUGACUAAUAAGUAAAAAAGGUGAAGAAUCUAUUAUAUUAUAAAAGAUCUUAUUUCAAAUAUUAUAGCAAAUUAUCUUAGAAAAUAGAAAAUAGUCCACAAGAAAAUAGAACUAAAGAUUUAAAUGCUAUCUUUUUACAAAGUAAGCUUCUAUUUACUUUGUAAGGCUAUAAAUAAGACAAAAUAAGGUAGAUUAAAAAAAUAAAGAAUAUGAGCAUAUGAAGGAAGAAGAUAGGAUUUGAUUAGAACAAAAAUUAACUCAAAAGGGCAAAAUUGGAUAUCCAAAGAGGACCAGUUAUCAAUCUAGGUCGAAAUUAGACAUUGAGGCAUAAAAUCAAGUAUAAACAACAACUUGGAGAUUUUUGCAUAGAUUAAAAAGUGGAAUUUGAGAACAAACUUUAUAGAAUUUCUUUGAGCAUUAAUUUAGAGAGAAUUAAGUAUAUAAUGACUUUACAAGAGCUUUGCAAAAUCACAAUUAUUUUGGAAGACUCUAGAAUUUAUAAAAUAAAAAUGAUAUUAUAUUUUUGAAAAUUUCAUGAGUUUAGUAGUAAAUCUAUAGUUCAUAUUUUGAAGACUUAUGAUAAUAGUUAUUUGAAGUAUAUGGUAUAAUUUUAAGCUUGAUCAAAUAAUUGAAUUUAAGACUAUUGAGUUUUAAGUAGGUUGAGGUCUCAAAAAUUAGACUUUGAAAGGCACAUAGGGUUUCUAAGAUCUUUAGCAAUCUACUAGAUGGAUUACAAUAAAAUUUGUAUUUGAAGAUAAUAGACUUAAUUUUCUACAUACAAGUGAAAUUUAAAAACAAUUAAAUAGUUUGAUAAGGAAAUAUUAGUAUUGGAAGUUCAGCAUUUAGAUUGGAGUAGGAGGAUGUCCAACAACUGAGCAGAUUUUAGGAUUUUUCUUCUAUUUGGUAGGUGCAAUUAUCUUCAAAUUUUAUGUGCUUAUUGCCAACUCAAUUAUUCAAAGGUGUAUAAAGUUCUAAGCAAGAUUAAUGGUUCAAUUCAUAGUUAUUGAGGUUCUAAAUUAUAUUAGGAUUAGGAUUUGGUUUAAGAUUCGAUUUAGGAUUUGGGAUUUGUGUAGGAUUUCAUUUAAGAUUUAGUUUAGGAUUUAGGGUUUAGAAUUUGUCUAAAAUUUGAUUGAAAUCUAUUAGAAUUUUAAGUAGGAUUUAAUUAGAACUUGAUUGAGAUUUAUUUAAGAUAUAUUUGUAAUUAUUCUAAUAAAUUUUAAGUCUUCUUUAGGAUUCUUUUAUGAAUUAUUGUGGAUUUUCUUUCAACUCCUUUAAGAUUUCUUAUUGUUUUAUUUGUAAUUUCUUUAAGAUUUCUUUUGAAGUUGAUUAAAUUUUAUUUAAUAUUUUAAAGUUUUAAUUAGAGUUUAUUUAGUUUUCUAUUAGAAUUAAGAUUUUAUUGUUGUAAUUUCUAUUCUAUUUUAUAUAGUUAAGUAUCUGGUGCAUUCUUGAGUAAGACUUCACUUAAUUCAACGUGAAAAUCUUGAGGUGGAAGGUAUUUGGUUUUCUUAGAUUAUUUGAAUUAAGGAGAAGAAAGAUAAGAGAGUUGAAGGAGGAGCUAAGAGUGGUGCUUCAGUUGGAGCUAUAAGUAGCAAAAUUAAUGGAGAACAAGGUAUGUAUUUUGAUUCCAACUCUAUAAGCCUAUUUUAGGCUUUUGUCUUAUUCAUGCAACAAUAACAUGUUAAAGAUUGAAAAGAGGAUAUGACAAAUAAAGCAUUAUAGACAGUAGUAGAAAAGAUCGAUAAACUUGAAGGGAAGUAUAUUACAAAAUAUUUAAGAUGUUAUGUAAAAAAAAUAGAAUUGAAGCAUGUUUUAGAAAGGGAGAUGGUUCAAUCAUUUGAAUCAGUCUCCACACUAGAGAUAAGAAAUCAAGUAAAGUCCCUUAUAGGUCAUUUUAGAGGUUCUUGGGAAAAUUUUUUUCAAGCAUUGAAGGAUGAAUUUUUCUUGGAAGAUAGUGACAGGAUUACAAAAAAGUCAUUAUUUGAAUGAAUUAAAAGGCCAAAGAAAGUUCUUCUAGCAAUAAAAUUAUUAAGAGAGUUAAAAAAGUAAUAUUCUUAUUUAUUAAAGAAAGAAAUAUAAUUAUUAGAUUCAAGUAAAGUGGAGCUUUAUCUUCAAGGGGCUAGUAGAGAAUUGCAAGAAAAAUUAGAAACCAUGCUUGAAGAUAAAAAAGAAGAUGAAGAAUUGACAACAAAUUCAAAGGAAGUAGAAGGGAUAAUAGGAUUACUUGUAAAAAGAGAAAGAAAAAAUGACAUGGUAGAUAUUUAAAGACCAUUGUAAGUAUCUCAGAUAAAAAUACCUACUAUUAAUCGUACAUAUAUGAUUCAAUCUUCAAUAACUAUAUCAAAGAAAGAAGAAAUGAGAAUUGAUGAAAUUAUACAAAGAAUGAAAGAUUUGCAAAUAAAAUUUGAAAAAUUUGAAGAGAAGGGUCAAUCAUCAAGAGCAUCAACAAAACAAAGGUUAGGAUCAAUAGAAGGUGUAAUACAUAGGUGCAUGUGGUGUAAUAGCAUGGAUCAUUCAAGAAGGAAAUAUGAAGAUUUUAUAGAGGCGCUACAUAAAGGAAUUAUUUUUUUUACAGAUGGUAUGAUAUACCUUAAAGAAAGUGAAGAAAAAUUGGAGUUAAACUUUGGUAAUGGAGGUAUGAAAGUAUUGAUGGUUCAUGCAAAGGAAGCAGACUUAUAAGAUUAGAUUUACUUAAGAUUUUGGAGCCAUAAGCAUUAAAACAUUAGAUCAUAUAAGUUCAUUAUGGCCAAGUGCAAUGAAGUGUGCGGCAAAUAAGAAGGUUGCUAGGAAUAUAUUAGUUAAUAUAAGGAAGUCUAUUUAAAAAACUUUAGAUUGGAAUGAUCUGAUUGAUGAUCUAUUUAUACAUGCAUAUGCUGCAAGGAGUCAACAUGAAGCAUUAAUAGAAGAAAAAUGAAUUAGAGAUGAAAAUAAUGAACGGCCAUCAAAAAAAACUACUAGGGUAGAAAAAAUACGACGACAAAAGAAUCUUAUAUAUAAAAAAAUAAUAAAAAAUAUUUCUAUAAAAGAAAAAAAAAUUAUAAAAAAAAUAAAGGCUCUUGCUUAUAAAUUACAAUUGGACAUUGAAGCAACAAGAGAUUUCACGAAGAUUUUAGAAGAAUACAAUUUCAAUAGUAAGGUAGAAUUUAUAUUAAAAGAAGUUCUUAGAAUAACAAAGACAGAAUCUUAUGAGCUCAUUAUAGAUAUUAUUAAGAAAAAAUGACAAAUUUUGGGUGAGAAUAUGGCUUCUUAUGUACAUGAGACAACAAUGAUGAUAGAUGAAGCAUACAAUAACUAUGCAUAUGGAGAUAUUUUACAUGUAAAGAUUAUGGAAAGAAAAGAAGAAAUCCAAACUUUAAAUCAUUAUUCUCGUAGGCAUUUGGCAAAAGCAACAACGAAGAUAUUGAUCAAAUUAGGAAAUUUACAGGAACCUAUUGUAAUAUUAAUUGAUCAUGGUUCUGAAAUCAAUUUGGUGUCAAAAAAAUUAUAUGAAAGAAGAAAAUGGCCUAUUGACACUGAGCAUGGAUGGAUGAUUUGAGCAGCAAAUAAUUCACAAAGAAAAUUAUAUGGAACAUAUCUAAAUAUGAAUGUUACAAUAGGAGAUGUUAGUAAUGAGCAAAACUUCUUUGUGCAAGAUAUGUCUACUUAUCCUAUCAUUCUAGGGCUACCUUAUAUUACAACUAUUUGCAUAGAAACAAAGCUUAUGAAUAAUAGAUUGGCAUAUGCUUGGAUUAGAAGUUGAAAUGGAACAAGAAUGGUGCAAUUUUUGACGGUAUGUACUAAUCAUGAGAGAAAUUGUGGGAGUUUGAAAGAACAAUCUUUGCGAAAAACAAGAAGACUAGAAAGUCUUGAAACAAGAAUAAGGAAUAAAAAGGCAUUGAUAAGAGUGAAGAAGGCUUCACUCUUGCCUCUAUAUAUACUUUCUAACUAGGAGCUAUGUGGCGAUAUUCUAUAGAAUCUCCAACAUGUGUUGACUUUGUUAGCCACAUGUCUUAACUUGUAAGGUAAGUUAAUUAUAUAUGUGCCACAUAGUUAGCUUGUUCUAUAAGCUAUUACAUGCAUUUAACUUUUUCUACAAGCUAUCAAGACGUGGUUAACUCGUUGGCCAAGUUUUCAAUCUACAAACACAUCUAAAGUCAAAAUUGCGUAUAUGAAGCUUGUAAAAAGCUUUUGUAGAAGACUUUAUGAAAUUAAUCUAUAUUUACCUACUUCUAUCUAAUCAUAUAAGUAACUAUUGAGACAAAUAUAUAUGUUCAUGAUAUUAUCCUCCCUUCUAGAAACAAAUUCCAUGAGGAAUAGUCAUCAUCUUUUAUAGAUCUUUAUAAUUCUUCAUCUUGGUUUUAAUAGAUAUUAUUGAUAAAAGGCUUCAACUUUCUUUGUUGCAUUUGUAAGAUUCUUUGAUGGCUUCCAUGUGUAUUCAUUAAUAUCAUAUUUGUGCUAAUAAAAAAUAUAUUUUAACCUAUUUUGGCAUCGCCUUGAGUCUAAAACUUCUUCCACCUCAAACUCUUAAUUAUUAUCUACUUCUAUAAGAAAAAGUGACAUUUGUCUUCUUCCCAAGAUAUUCACUAUCUUAUAUGGCUUAAAAAAGAAUAUAUGAAAUAUAAGGUAGAUCUUCAUAGACUCUAAUAGAUAUAAUCAAUAAGCAUCAUGAUUGAUUUAUUUACAAAUAAGAAAAGGUCCUAGUCUAUGAUAGUCCAACUUAUCACAAGGAUGAGUAGUCUUGAUAUUACAAUAAAAUAACUAUACCUAGUCAUCUACAUUAAAUUGUGGUUGCUCCUUGCAAUAGGCAUCCACAUUGGUCUUUUGUUGUUCUUGAGCUUCUUUAAAUUGUGUCUUCAUUGUUGCAUGUAACUCUGACAAAUGAUUUGCUAAAUCUUCUACUAUAAGAUUAUUAACUUUUAAAAAAUCAAAAGUAUUAAAUUAUAUAUGAUAACCAUAAUUGGCAAAGAAAGAUAUUUGUUGAGUAGAAGAACAUAUCAAUUUAUUAUAUGCAAACUCUGCCAAUGGUAAAAGAAUUGUCCAAUCAUCUUGAUGAUAAUUGAUGGUAUACCUCAAAUAUUACUUCCAAACUUGAUUCACCUAUUUUUUUUGUCCAUUAGUUUGAGGAUGAAAAGCCAAAAAGAGCUUUAUAUCUACCUUUAGAAUGUUGAAUACGAUUCUUUAAAAUCUUAAUAUAAAUUGAAUCUUCCUAUCCAACAUAAUAUACUUUGGCAAUCUAUGAUAGUAAUAAAUUUUGUUAAUGAAAAGCUUGGCUGUUUCUUCAUUUGAAAUAGAUUUUGUACAUGAUAUAAAAUAAGUCAUUUUGAUGAAUCAAUCUAAAAUUAUGAAUAUAGAGUCAUAUGAACUUGAACUUGGAAGAUCUAUAAUAAAAUCCAUAGAAAUAGGAGACCAUGGUUGUUCAGAUAUGGGCAAUGAUUGAAGAAGUCCAUAAGAUUGAUGACGAGGAGUUUUUGAUCUUGAAUAAAUAUUACAUGACUAGACAAAGUCUUUUACCACCUUCCUCAUUUGCGGCCACCAAAAAUCUCUGGAUAUAAGCUCUAAAGUCUUCUUAUAUCCAAAAUGUCCUCCUAUUAGAAAGCCAUGACGUACUUGAAGAAUAUGUAAACGUAUUCUUCCUUCUGGAACAUAUAAAUAUCGUUUGAAAUAGAGAAGGUUUUUGUUGAAUUUGAACUUUGAAACAUCAUGAAACUUAAAAAAAAGAUUCUUGAUAUCAUGAAUAAGAAGAUCAAAGGACAUAUUUGAUUAAAUUUAUUUAACAAAAGUCGAAUCAAUAGUCAAUGUUGAUUGCAUUGCUUGAAGAUGAAAAUACUUUGAUUUUAAGAGAAUUAUUCUUUGUUGAUCAAAAGACAUGUCUUCUUCUUUUGGUACAAAUUAGAAGCAUCUAGAAAGAGCAUCUGAUAAACCUUAUUCUUUUCCAAGCCAAUAUGUGAUCUUAAAAUCAAAUCUUAAUAAUGACAUGCUCUAAUGGACUUGGCGACGAUUCAAAACAUAUGAAAAUAUGAAAUACUCAAGGUUCUUGUGAUUUAUAUAUAUUAUGAUUGGACUUAAAAUGCCUUCUAGAUAAUGAUACCAUUCUUGAAAUGAAUCCAUAAUUACAAGAAGUUUUUUAUUAUAGAUUUGAUAAUUAAUUUUGGUUGCUAAAAAUUUCUUGGAAUAAAAAGCUACUAAAUGGAGUUUAUUAUUUGUUUCCAUUUGUGACAAUACUACACCUAAAGCAAAGUCUGAUGCAUUUAUUUCUAUAAAAAAUACCUUGGUAAAAUCGAUGCAAUACAAAAUUGGUACAGAAGUAAAUUUCUUCUUCAAAGCAAUAAAUAAUUCUUAGGCUUCUUUAUUCUUUUCAAGUUUAUCUUUAUAAGUGUAAACGUAUAAGUAGAAUUGUAACUUCAAAAAAGUUCUUAAUAAAGAUUCAAUAAUAAUUUGCAAAGCCUAAGAAGCAUUGCACAUUACAUAUUAUUCUUGAGAUCUUCCAAUUUAUGAUAGUUUGGACCUUUUUUGGAUCCAUCAUAAGGCCUUCAUUCAAAAUGAUGUAUUCCAAAAAGUCAACUUCAAUAAUGUGGAAUAUAUACUUUUUCAUCUUUGUAUUAUCGUGUUGUAGUUCAACUAUUAUGUGAAAAUAAUGGAUUUAUAUAUUUAAUACAUAAUAUACUAGACAACAUGGUAAAAGCCAUGUUAGUAGAUUUUUGUUGAUUAUAGGAUGUGGAUAGUUUAGUAGGUCAAAAAGAAGUUGUUUAAAAAGGCUUCUAUUAGAAUUUAUAUAACUUUAUUUUCUUUUGAUAGUGAUUUUGAAGUUGAUCUUAUUAGUAGUAAGUUUUAAAUAUUUAGAGUCACCUUUGUUAGAUAUUGGUGAUCCUUAAAGUCUUAUUUUGUUUCUUUUAUGUGGUUUUUAUGACAUGUAUUGUGUAAAUAUUAUAAAGAAAAGAAUUGAAGAGGAAUUUUGGUAGCAAAAAGAGAGUAAGGGCACCCAUAUGAAUGAGUGGAGAUGGAUGAUAUAAAUCUCUAUUCUUAUUGGUCAAAAAUCAUGACCAAUGGGCUUCAAGGAGGCUGCCCGAGGCCAUAUUAGAAAUUAGGGUUACUCUUUUGGAGUCAUUUGAGUUUUGAAGGCUAGGAUCAGCAAGUUUAGGUUUUUGGCUAUGGUUUUGGUACAAAUUUUGUGUGAUUUUGAGUUUAGAUGAAAGAGAUAUAGGCGCUCAAAGUUAAGGUGUUGAUUUUGUACCUACUGGCACUCUUUUGGAUAUAACGCACGGGUACAAAAAGUAACAUUAGAUUGGUGAUUAGGAUUAGAGAGAGCACUCUCUCGGCUAUAUUUUUGGCAUAAUAUUUUUUGGAUUUCAAGUUUAGGUGAAGGAGAUAUUGGAGGUUGAAGUUAGCACUUGCAAAUCUAAGGGUAGUAAGUAACCCAAAUUGCUAGUGGUUGUGUUUUGAGCUAUAUCUUGUGCAAUUUGAUAAGAUUUUGACUAAAACUUUUCAAGAAUGUGUAUUUUCAAGUAAUCAAACUUUGUAUAUAAGAUUUGAGGCAUUUGGAUUACAAAUUUUUGAGACAUGAGAAAAAAUAGUUUUUGGAUGCUUGUAGAUUAGGAUUUAGAGUACUUACUAGGAUUUCUAAGAUGCUAGAAGAUUCAUAAUUGAUUUAUAGUUCAUUUUUGUUUGAUAAAGCUUAAGGAUAAAAUCUAUGUUAUAUAAAAGUUUUAAAAAAACUAAAUAAUUGGAUCAAAAGAUAUGAAUUUUAAAAGAUUAGGAUAAAAAUUUCUAUUGCAAGAAGAAAAAAUUUUGAAGGAUUUUGAUAUAUUUUGAGUUUUUGUGCAAAUAAAGGGAUUUUUGGAAGCUAAGACAUCAUAUAAAAGCCAAAGAAAAAUUCUCUAUAGCUAAAUAUCCAAUGUAUUUUCACAUUGUAAAUCACGCCACACAACAGUGUAUAAUCUUGCAUCUCUUAGUUUUUGUAAUAUACAACAAACAUGAACUUCAUGCUCUUCUAUGUUUUUAGAAUAGAUUUAAAUAUUAUCCAAAUAAAAGACAACAAAAUCAUCAAGAAACUCACAAAAGACAUCAUUCAUUAAAUAUUAGAAACAACUUAUAUAUUAGUGAGUCCAAAAGGCAUGACAUUAUAUUUAAAAUAUCCAUACCUAGUUUGAAAAAAUAGUCUUCUAUUCAUCUCCUUCUUUGAUGCAAAUCAGAUUAUAUGCUCCUUGUAGAUUUAUUUUUGUAUAGAUCUUUGUUUGAUUUAGUUGAUCAAGAAGUCCUAAAAUCAAAGAUAGAUGAUAUCUAUUUUUAAUGGUGAUCUUGUUUAGUCCUCAAUAUUAUAUUACGUUUUGUUUUGCUCACAAAUGCAUCGGGCACUUAGCUGUGGAAGGUGAGAUUAUAUUUCACAAGUUGCCAAGAACCCCUAAUAGGUUUCACCCAUGCGAGAAGAAUAUAAUCUGAAUUUCAAUUUAAAAGUGCUUAAAAUACUCUUCUUAGUAGUCUUAAUCAUACAUAAAUCCCAAUUACCUUGUCACUUUCAUAUUUAAACAAUUUAGAUUUUUCUUCUAAAUCCCAAUCUUAAUCAGUGAGCUUUAACAUGAUGUAACAUCCAAUCCGACCGUCCACUUGAUGUCGAAUUUGCAUGAAAUUGUCAAAGAAAGUCUUCCAAAUGCUCAAGAAUUUUUAGCCCAAUUCAACUUAUAGAUUGUAAAAAAACCUCCAAAAAUUGCACCAAUGUCACUCGGCCGCCAACUUGAAAAGUGAAGCAAAAAUCCUAGCAAUGAUUUCUCCUUCUCCAACUAUUAACUUUAUCUCAAAAUUGGUGUGUAGCUUGAUCUUUAGGUCCUCCAACACCAUGCCAAUUUUCACCUUAAUCCAACUCUAGAUCUUUAGAUAUCAUAGAAACCCUAUCCAACAUCAAAUUGCCACCUUCUGAAAUCCUUUUGUGCUAAAAACUAGAUAAUUCUAAACUAUGCCGUUAGAUUAUCAUAAAAUUUUGCAUAUGCUUUGCACACCUAAUAAUCCAAAUAAUAUAAAAUUUUUAAUCGUAGAUGUCAUGCCAAUUGCACGAAUUAGCCAAAAUUGCUAGCCAUAAUUAUAUUAUAUAAAAUCCAAAUCAUUGAUAAAAAUCCUAAAUUUGAACAAAAAUUUCUAAGUCUUCUAAAACCCUUUCAAAACAAUUUUUACAUCUUUAGAAAGAACUUUAAGCUAGCUCUCAAAUUCUAACCUCUGAUCUUCAAAUAAUCCCCUAAUUUGCCCUUGGCGGUCGUUUUGGUAACCAAAGGUCUGAUUUCGACUCUAUCUCACAAAUGGUCAACCCCCAAGUAUCAAUCUAACUUAUCUUAAGGAUUUUUUAGCCCAAUUCUACCCUUAACUUGAUCCUAGUAUCAACCAUAUCAACCAUUUAUCUCUUCUACCCUGGUUUUAUUAAUUUAUGGUCUUUCUAAAGUAGUAAAAGAGUCUCUACAACCUAGAAGGUAAAAUUACUAACUAACUUUCAAGCUACUAACUUUUAAGAUAAGAAAAUAACCUAAGAGGCUUUUUAUAAAAGCCAUGUUUAGAUACCUCAAAUUAUAAUUGAACUAAGAUAAUUAGAUAAUAAGUAGAAAUUUAAUUUUAAUUAUAAUUUCACUAUAUAGUCAUAUUACAUCACGACAUCGAUAAUCUACAUACAUCUACAAAGAUCCGUCUUUUUUCUUCACAAAUAAGAUAGAAACCUCGGCUAGAGUUUUAGAAUGGCAUAAAAAUUUCUUAGCCAAAUUCUCAUCAAUGUAUUCUUUCAGUGUAGUCAAUGCAUUUUGUGAUAGGCAAUAAAUUGGUCUUAAUGGUGGUUGAAUUCUUUCUUGAAGAUUGAUGGUACAAUCAUAAGGAUGAUGCUCUAUAAGAAUAUCUACAUUCUUCUUUUCAAAAAUGUCCUAGAAAUCUUGUACUAGUUAGAAAUAUCACUUAAUAUCUUUUCACCAUCAACAAUGAGCAUGGCAUAUAUAGCAAAAGAUGGCCCUUUAUUUGUGGCAUGCAUAAAAGCUUUUGGACCUACUCAUAAUGAUUUGGAUAUAUUAGGCUUAUAGAUUUUUACUUGCUUAGUAGGACCUUGGAUUAACCUAUUAGAAAAAUCAAAAUUGCAAGAAAUCUAGUUUAUUAGAGGGUUAUAUCUUUCUAACCAUGAUAAUCCUAAAAUAAUUAGAUUAGAAAAAUAUUUAAUCACAUUAAAUAUUAUUAAAUUAUUAUGACUAUUAAUUACUACUUUUAUACUAAUAGUUUUAUAUGUAACAUCUCUAGAAGAUAAUGAACAUCCAUCUAUUACUUCUACAUGCACAUGUUAGAUUUUCUUAAUUAAAGAUAUAUCUUGUUUUUAACAAAGUCUUCAUCUAUAAAACAAAUUGAGGCUUCUAAAUCCAACAAGGCUAAGUCUUUGUGAUUUUUUAGUCCUAAAUAGACUUCUAUUGUAAAACAAGAUGAAGGAUCAAAAGAGAGAAUAGGUCCUUUGCUAGAUGUUGCACAUGAUUCAAAUUGCAAUGUCCUCGUUGUAGCUCGAGCAACUCAUUUUUUGACACAUUAUCUUCUUUAGCAAUCAUGCUCUUUAUUUUGUAAUUACGUUGUUUUUUUAGAUAAUAUUGACUAAUAUGUUUAGCUUUUCCAUAAUAUAAGCAUGAGCCUUUUUGACGUUGUCAUAUUGUAAAAACUUAUAGUAUGUAAAAAUUAAUUAAAAUAUAUUAUUUAUUAAUAAAUCUAAAUGUAUGUUAGAAUAGUUAAUAGAUUAAUUUAAAUAAAAUAGAUAUAAAAAACUUCAUUUUGAGUUUUAUAUUUUUUAAUUAUAACAUUUCAAAAAAAUUAUAGGACCUAAAUAUUUAGUAUGAGGCCUUAAGAGGAGAUUAGAGCCUAAAGAAGAAAAUCUUAACUAGUAGGAGGCUUAUUGGGAGGGAUGAAAGCAAGGCAUGGUUGGAUGAAGGCAAAGAAUGGAGAUCUUCAUUCCUAUUGGUCGAAGGCCAUAUCCAAUGGACUUCAAGGAGGCUACCUAAGGGCUUAUUAGAGAUUAGGAUUUUUCUUUGGAAGUCAUUUCAAAGGUCCAAUUUACUAAAGAUUGUUGCACCUCAAAGUUUAUCAAGAAAAUCAUCCACACAUAGAAGUGGAUAUACAUUUUUAACAGUUUGCUUAUUGAUGCCUCAAUAAUCAAUGCAAAGUCAAAGUCCACUACCUUUUUUGGAAGCUAAGAGUACAUGUACUUUCUAUGACAAUGUGCUUUUUCAAAUGAGGUCCUUUUUUAAGAGUUUAUCUAAUGGCUUUCACAAUUCUACAAAUUCAUUUGGUGUUAGGUAGUAAAUUGUCCAACUUGUCAGCUUGAUCCUAAGCACUAUUUCUAUUUGAAAGGAGGUACCUUGAUCACAUGGCAUGCUAUUAGAUAAAUCAAUUGGAAAGACAUUAUGAUAUUCAUAUAUGAGUUGCUCUACUCUUUUUGCUCCUUUGACAAUCUUUUCUAUUAAUGAAGCAAGUUUUAGAACCAUAACAUAUUGGCUAUGGCAUAGCAAUUGAUUAUGUCAUAUUUGCUUCUUUAUAAUGGUCAUUCCUACAAGUAAGCUCUUAGUUGCAGGUUUUUUUCUUAUGCCACUUAAUAUAGAGGUAUAAAGAGUUAGUGUGCAUCUUCUAUCUUUGAAAGAGAUUCUCCUUGCUAGUAAAUGGACUUGUUUAUUUUACACAUCUAGCUAUGGCAUAUCAAGGUUGAUAUCAUAUCUAAGCUUUGUUAUUUUAAAUUUUUCUCUCAAGGCAUAAGUCUCGCUCAGUCUCAAGGUUUCUUCUUCACUUAUUUUGCUCAAUACGUUUCUGUUAGUCAUUUGUUAGGUAUGUAUUCCUUCUUUUGAUGACCUUUGUUUUAAUCCUAAGUCAAUUAACAAUUGUUGUUAAGAUAUAAUGUUUUGUAGAGUUGCAAUCCACAAGCACUUGAUAUGGUUGUCUUCUUAGUCAAUCCAUUAGGCACACUUGUCAACCCUUCUAAUAGUUGUUUGAAGCUAUACGGUUAAUCUAUGAGAAAUAACAACUAUUCCUAAUAUUGACCUUUGGUAUCUUUACUGGGAGUAUUAUUUUACUGCUCCACUUCUUCAUCAACUUAGUAGCCCUCAAGAUUGUGAAUCUGUCGUGAUUUGCUGAUACUUGAACUUUGAAGUUUUAGACAAUCUCUGAUUUGAUGGUCUAGCUUUCAGUAAUAAAAGCAGAAUUCCUUUUGCACCAAUAUUUGUUGUCUUUGUGGCAUCAAUGUCUAUCGACAUCAGUUAUUGUGCCAUAAUAUUGAGUAGUGACAUAAGACUCCAUGAUAUAGGUCAUACUCUACCAUUUCUGAAAUCUAUAGCAUUGAUUCUUUAUGCAAUCCUAACUGCCUCCUCAAAUGUUUGUGGAUCCUUUAAUUCCACCUCUCACUAGAUCAUAAGUUUCAAUCCUUAUAUGAACCAAUCCAUCAUCUUCGCCUCUAAAAUAUUGUCAAUUUGAAGAUAUAAGAACUUAAAUUGGGAGAUAUAAACUUGCAUUAAUUUGGAUUGUAUAAAGUUAGCUAAUUGAUCACAAGCUAACUUUUCUACAUUGAUGGGCUGAAAUUGAUUCUUAAGCUCGGCCUCAAACUCCUUUUAGUCAUAAAAUCUACCUUGAACUCCAUAGCUUUAAGCUUGAUCUUACUAUCAAAUGACUGCUGUAUCUCUCAAAUAAUUGGAAGCAUAUAUAAUUCUUUUGUUAGUAUUUGCUCUAGUUAAUUAGAAGUAUUAUUGCAUACUAAAGAGCCAUUGACAUAUAUCUUCUUACUUUGAGGUUCUUGAGUAUGUAUCAAACUUGCUUAAUUUCAACUUAGCAAAUAUCAACUUGCUUGCCUUGAAAGCUUCUAUUUGCCCUUGCAGAGUAGCUAUUUGGCCUAGAAGGUCUUAUAUCUAAGUCUCUAUUUGAAAUUGCUCUACCAUAUCUCCCAUGCUACAAUUUCUUUGCUAAAUUUUAUUAUUGUGAUAACUUCUUUUCUUCCACUUGACUUCUUGAAAUAACUUGUUGUUGUCCCAAUGUAGUACUCGAUGUGAUCACAAUAAUUGAUUCUCAGCUAAAUGGUGGUUAUGAACAUACUACCAAAGAAUGGACUAACACUCGCUCUAAUAUCAAUAAAACAAGGCCUGAUUCUCUAAGAUCUAAAAUCUUACCAAUUUGAUAACAACAAAGAUCUCAACGUAACAUAAGAUCAAGCAUACUAAAAAAUAAAUAAAAGUAACUAAACAGAAUAGAACAUUAUGAGCUAUGAAUCCUCCCUACUUUAUUUUGAGAAAAAAAAUAACUUCAUAAUAAAUUCAAAAAGUAGUAGAAAUUAAUUGUGAAAUUAAUUUAAUGGUUGGUUAAUUAAUUAAUCAAUUUAUAAUUAUCUAGAUAAUGCCUUUCAAGCAAUGGUUAUCAUUUAAUUUAGAACAAGUGAUAAAAAAUAAAAAUAAAUUAAAAAAUACUAGCAAAUGGAAGUAGUCAGAUGAAAAAAAUAUGGAUAGAAUAAGCAGUUGGAUGAAAAUAAGCACAUCUGGAAUAGAAACAGUAUAGUCAGAUGAAAAUAGCACUGCUCGAUGAAAAUCACAUGGUUUGAUAAAAACAAGCAUAGUUGGAUGAAAACAUCAUAGGGAUAGAAAGCAGUAGCAGCCACUACUAGGAUAGAGCAAUAGCAGCAACAAAAAAAAAUCUCCCAAUUUCAAACCCUCAUAACUUAAUGGUGGGCCCUACCAAGAUAAUUGCCCUUCUAAAAAACUUUAGAGAUAGGCCCUACUAGGAUAACUGUCCUAAGCCUUUCUAAAAGGUUUAAUGGUAGGUUCCAUAUGAACUACCAUCUUAAUCUCAAUUCUAGAAACUUUUCAAAAACAACUCCAAUUACAUAUCUCUAUGUGCAAAUAGUACAAAUAUCUUAUUCAUGCUUUGUUAUAAUGCCACUUUCAAAAAGUCAAUAGUUGAUGAAAUUCAAUUCUAGCAUUGUCAUACAUAUGAAAUUGAAAUUGAAAUCAAAAGAUUGCAGAUAAUAAAGUGCAUUGAGAAGUAGUAUAUGUAUUUGACGUAUAUAUUCCUUCUCCAAGAAUUUAUGAAAAUGUGUUCAGAUUAGUAGCUGGGCCAUGUCAUAUGAGCAUUAGUGAACUAAGAAAUCUUAUUAGUCUCUAAGAUAUAUACUUAAAAUUAAAUAAAAAAAUAAUCUCCUACAAGAAAACCUUUAGAGAGAGAAUCUUAAACCACCAAAGGAGAUAUCAACUUUCUGGAGAUGCAAAAUUUGGUACAAGUUUUGCAUGAAUAUUGCACUCAACUUACUAAGAAAAUAAAACAGAUUGACUUCUACAAGCAUAUAGAUGGCUUUUGUCAUCCAUAAUCUUAAGGCUAAUUGAUUAACUAUUAAGAAAUAGUGUACCCAACUAUAAUUCUUAUUGUUGAUUGUAUUGAGCAUAGAGCUAUUGGAUUAGGUUUUGUACUAGCAUGAGCUCAUACUUUCAAUUUGUAACAAAUAAUUCAAUCUUAUGUGUAGCUAAAGCUUGAGAAAUGCAUGCAUGCACUAAAAAAUACAAUAAAGAGGUUGGAGGGAGUGCUUAGUGAAUCUUGAGAGAUGCUAAAAGUUCUAUUGUAUAUUAUAUUUCUUUGUUUAUUAAAAAAAAUUGUAAAAAGUAAUUUUUGGCUCACAAACAUGUCUUCAAUUAAAUGCUUCUUUGACAAUGUGACAAUGGCAUGGCUUCAGCUAGUCUAUCAUACAAGAACUAUAGUAAUAUUAAAAAGCACACUUUUUUAAAAAUCAAAUGAAGUUAAUGUUUUUCAGUCCAUUAUAGGAAACUACAGAUGUACAAAUUUCAUUUGAACCAAAAACCAACUAUUAAAAACAGAGAGAUUCUACUCAAAUAUGAACAAAUAAAUAAAGAAGCAGUUCAACUUGUUAAUCACCACCUCUUCCACAGAAAUGAGCACUGCCCAAACACUCUUGUUAACAUUUUGUUUGUAACUUAAUGCUAGAGUAAGUCAGAAAGGCAGACCAAAAAGUAACAAGGCCUUCUCAAAAGCAAGGGCUCUAUCAGUGAGGUUCCAAGGAGGGAACGAGGCUCUAAGACCAUGGGACCCUCGCCCGGGGCUGUGUCCUGCGCUCUCGCUCUGGCUCUGAGCGUCAAUUAGGCGAAGAAGAUUCGAAUGCUGAGGUGCAGGAUUGCGGUCGGUGACGCGAGGGAUGGCAGGCGAGCUCGUCUAAUUUGAGGGAUUGUGAAGAAGCGCGUGACAUAGUGGAGAAUUGGAGAGCUAGUUGUGUAGGCGUUGGUGGUGGGGGGUUGGGUUGGGCUGGGUAGUUAGGGUUGCGGGGUGCGCGAAAUGGCGAUGGCGGUGCAAGGUGCAGUGGUGGGGGUGGAGAAGGGGUUCGGUGGGAUGGAGUUCAUGGGUUGCGGGAUAGAGAAGAGGGCGGGGGUGGCAUUGCCGGUGGUGCUGCCGAGAAAGGAUGGCGUGGGGUACAAUUCAGUGGUGCGAGGCAGCUUGGUGGCGACGGAGUGGAGGGGAUUCAUCGCCGGGGCGCCUCGCGUGCGGGAGAGGGCGGCGACGCUGCGAGUGCGGGCGGGCAACGCCGACAGCGACGGGGUGAAGUGGUGGGAGAAGGACGGUGGCCCCAACUUUCGGGAUGUGCACUCGACGCAGGAGUUCGUGGAUGCGCUGGCGAAUGCCGGGGAGAAGCUGGUGGUGGUGGAGUUUUACGCGUCGUGGUGCGGGUCGUGUCGCGCGCUGUACCCGAAGCUGUGCAAGCUGGCAGCGGAGCACCUGGACGUGGAAUUCAUGAAGGUGAAUUUCGAGGAGAACAAGCCGAUGUGCAAGAGCCUGAACAUCAAGGUGCUGCCGUAUUUCCAUUUCUACCGCGGUGCGGAGGGUCGGUUGGACGCGUUCUCGUGCUCGCUGGCGAAGCUGCAGAAGCUGAGGGACGCGAUUGCACUGCACAACACUGAUAGGUGUAGCAUUGGCCCGCCAAUUGGGGUGGGCAACAUUUUUUCGAGCGGCAACAAGGAUCAAGCCGCCGCGGCGUCGACAUCGUCGUCAUAGUACAGUGGGCAUGAAUGGUAGAUAGAGUAGGUGUGGUAGUCUGCGAGGGGAUUUUACAGGCAUUCAAAAUUUUCCAGAGGUCCCCGAGGAUGCGGGAUGCUUUGAUUAGGGCUUGUAGGUUGUAAUCUACGUGUACGCAUAAGAGUGACUUAAUGUAAACAUAGUAACAGAUUCAGUGGGCGACUGUUGUUAUAAGUUCUCUUCGGUUUUUUUUUCUUGGUAUCUGCAUCUGGAUUCGGGCUUGCAAGGUGUGAGUGGGGCAGGACAACGGCAGCUUGGAUUGCCAAUUGCACGAUUGUGAAUUGAAGGUCGUCAUGUGUGAGGUGAUCAGUUGGGCAGGUGAAAAGGUGACGAGGCGGGCUUGGAUGGUGAAGCCAUGACGAAGACGUUGGGUGGGAUGAGGCGAUUUGAGUGGAAUGAGGUGUAGGUUAGUAAUGUGGUUGUCUUCGUGGUGUGCUUUUUUUGUGCUGUAUUUGGCACCGAGAGGGAGGAGAAGUUGUGUGUGGCCAUGUUCAUGCCCGUCAGUCCGUGCAUCCUUGAUCAAUUGCUAGGGUCAUUUUAUAAUUGCACAGAUUGAACUGGCCAGUUGCAUGUAUGAGCUUAAGUGGUUGCCACCCAGCUCAGCUUAUUGUCUAGUACAAUGGAACGUAGUUCCUACUUGGUGAACCUUCUACUUGUUAAACACAUACUGUACAACUUUUAUAUCCACAUUUGUAUAUAUAAGUUAUUGUUAAUGUCACCAUAAUUUUUGUUUUAGUUUUUAAUUAAAGUUAAAGUUUUUUUAUUUAACAUAAUUUGAAAACAAAAAAAAGAAAUGUUGGUAAUAUUUAUCCUUUUUUAUUGAUUGAAAUAAAAACAUCUAAAGACAUUUAUUUAGUUGGUAAUAGAGUGGUUUUGUCAAGAAUAAGAAUUUAAAGAAUGUAAAUUUAAAAGUGGGUCAUUUAUCAAAGAGAGAAGAUAAAAAAGAAGUAAAUAAAUAUGUAUAUUUAAGAAGAAAUUAAAAUGAAUGUUGCCAAAGAUUAAAAAACUACAAUCUCUUAAAACUAGAUUAGGAAUAGAAAAGAAUGGAUAAGAAUG